rnacentral:tRNA from 1 species
AAGAAAAAGUACUAAAGGUAUACAUACUAGUGGGAGUUCGAAUCUCUCUAUUCUUA